CGAGCGGCAGCGGGAAGUAGCUUGCUACUUUGCCGGCGAGCGGCGGACGGGUGAGUAACGCGUAGGAAUCUGCCCGGUAGCGGGGGAUAGCCCAGAGAAAUUUGGAUUAAUACCGCAUACGCCCUACGGGGGAAAGGAGGGGACUCUUCGGAGCCUUCCACUAUCGGAUGAGCCUGCGUGAGAUUAGCUUGUUGGUGAGGUAAAGGCUCACCAAGGCGACGAUCUCUAGCUGGUCUGAGAGGAUGAUCAGCCACACCGGAACUGAGACACGGUCCGGACUCCUACGGGAGGCAGCAGUGGGGAAUAUUGCACAAUGGGCGAAAGCCUGAUGCAGCCAUGCCGCGUGUGUGAAGAAGGCCUUAGGGUUGUAAAGCACUUUCAGCGAGGAGGAAAGGGUGUUGAUUAAUACUCAACAUCUGUGACGUUACUCGCAGAAGAAGCACCGGCUAACUCCGUGCCAGCAGCCGCGGUAAUACGGAGGGUGCAAGCGUUAAUCGGAAUUACUGGGCGUAAAGCGCGCGUAGGCGGCUUGUUAAGCCAGAUGUGAAAGCCCCGGGCUU
rnacentral:rRNA from 1 species